rfam:Anopheles sinensis unplaced genomic scaffold AS2_scf7180000696060, whole genome shotgun sequence.
CCUUCGAUAGCUCAGUUGGUAGAGCGGUGGACUGUAGAAGGAGAGGAGAAUGUGAAGGAAGAGCACUCCAAAGAAACAAUAGAAAUCCAUAGGUCACUGGUUCAAAUCCGGUUCGAAGGA